rnacentral:tRNA from 1 species
CGGAGCGUAGCGCAGCCCGGUAGCGCGCUACACUGGGGGUGUAGAGGUCGUGGGUUCAAAUCCCGCCGUUCCGA